AUCAAGGGUUCAGAUCUCUUCUU
rnacentral:miRNA from 1 species